GUUGAAGAAAAUUAGUGACGGGGUACAGAAAACUAAGCAAAGGAAGAAAUCCUAACAGUUGUAGCAUCGAAUGCCAAUGUCAUCGAAACUGUGGCACAGCUCUUCAGGAGGGCUGGUUGGAACAAUUCAAUAAGAUAAUACAUCAGAACCAUCCAUCGCACGUGUUCAAUGAGAAAACUGAGGCCCGAAGAGAGAAAGCCUUUCACCCAAAGUCCUGCAGCUGGAAAAUGGCAGAACUGAGGAUGUAACCUGAGCAGCUGGUUCUUAACCCUGAAGAC